AGCAGUGCUUUAAUAGUUUUGCUUUUGCACGAGCGUUGUUUCAGCGGCGCGUUCUGUUUAUUGUUAAGGUCUCGCGGGUUGUUUGUUUGUUACAUUAUAACUGUGGAUGUUUGGCGCGAAAUGUUUGGAACGUUCGGGGCUACGUUGUAUCAACUUUUUCCUGGUGAUCAGUGGAUUGAGAGAUAAUACCGCGCCCGCCGCGAGGAAUUCCGUAGUAAUGCACUUGCUCGACCGGUUUCUUUUCUUAAAUCGACAUUUUAAAGGGUUGUUUACGCUUACUUUUCUCUUUUACUGCUUCCUUUGUUUUUGGUAGAAUGCAUUUGGACAUCUGUUGUUGCCAAUGCACCGCCCAUAUUGAUAGUAUAGUAUAUUAUAUAUGUUCAUAGUACUCAGUUUUAAAAAUGUUGCCUACAGUCAUGACAUUUCUGUCGCUUCCACUUGGCUUGGCUGAUAACCAUGUGUAUGCGGUGAUUUUGCGGUAUAAUUCGGCGACAGAAUUUCACUAUUCGGCACCCAAUGAAAUCUUAUCCAUCACAGCCAUGCAUGUCGAGCAAAACGGGUCUGAAUGGUCGGGGGAGAAGUCAGGCGCACUUGCCCACAGCAAACGGGCAGAGUACACCGAGCACGGGCUUAUAAUGAAUCAAAUCAAAGCAGCGUGGAAUGAUCAUGUUUCAGAGGACAGUGAAAUGUGUUUGCACACGUGGUUUGUCGGUGCAAAGAUUGUUUGGUUUACGUAUGGAGCAGCAGCACUUAGGGCAAACAUUGAUGCAGUGUUUUUUCUUUUCUUUUUUUGUUUAGAUAAUAUGGGUAGAUCUUUGGAAAGGGCUGUGUUCUCUAAAGCAGUACAGUUGUCAAUGUCAGCUGACUGUUUAUAUGCACAUAAACAUUCUGCUUAAGAUUGGAAUAUGAUUGUAUUUUGAUUAUAUGUGCGUCAUAUUAGCAUGUUAAUCUGAUUGCAAGAAAUAAGAUUUUGUUUACAAGAAAUCUGAAUUAGAUUGCUGGUAUGUUCUUGUAUUAAUCACAAUUCUGGGUGAUGUAAACACCUUAUUUGCAAUAUCCAUAUUAUUUAUAUCCAUGCAAAUGUCAUUAUGCAUUGUGCAGUGUGAUACAGGCAGUUAUUGAAAGUCAAAGAUUUGGAGCAAGGAGAAUUUCCCUCCGAACAUGAAAAGAAAUUGCAGUUCAUUGCAACAGUAAUGGGUUGAAUAAAUUAAAACAGAAAAAUGAAUAUAAAAAUGUACAUGGAUAUUUUUUUUUCUUCACUCAAAUUAUAGGAUUAACCAGAAUAUGCACUUUAAUCAGAAAAUGGAUAGGUUCUGGUUGGGUUGUGUCUUUUUAUGCAAUUGUGAGUGGCGGGGAUUUUCUGAUGUUCAUAUUCUGUGCAUUUUCAUUGACACAUGUGGUUCUUGGAGACCGGUAUAAAUAAAUCUUGUGUGAAGAGAGGUAUUUGAGAUCAUGUGUGCAUCUCUUAGAUGACUUAAAUGGCUCUCUCAGGUGUUGAAUGUGAACAUUUGGUCAAUAUCAUCAUGACUGAUGAAUUUCAUUUCACUAUUGUCAUGGAUGAUUUCACCUCAGAGUUGCUUGUGCAUGAGCCGUGCUUCCUUGAGACUGUGUAAAAGCAUUUACAUCCUUCGUCUGUUUGGAAUGCAAACAUAAAAGCGUAUUUUAGACAAGGUUGUUUAAAGCCACUCGCAGUCAAACAACAAAACAUAUAUGUGGCUGCCACAGUGUGAGUCAGUACGGUUCAAACAGGUGUACUGUAUAUUCACUUUUAAUGCCAAGUAUUUAGACUUUAUUGGAAUGCUGUUGAAUGCUGCAGAUCCACAUGCAAAAGCAAAUUUUGCAUGGCAUUAGUGCCAUCUUCGGCACACUGGCACUUGUGAUCUGGUGCCCUGCUGCCUGGCAAUGUGGCAUGUAAUUGGGUUUGAGGGGAUAUUGCAGAAAGCUGUGGAUGAUGCUGUGUCCUUGGAUCGGUGCAGAAUUGCUAUGGCUUGCAAACCUCCUCCACCUCCUCCUCUGUUGUCUUUGUAUUGAACGGGUAGGGAGAUCUAGGGCAUGGAGGGUAAAGCUUUGUAUGUCUCUUAGAUGCUGCUUCUCUUGUGUGCUGCAGGACUGCAGUUGUUGGAACAAAUAGGUUUACGUUUUUAUCACUCUUUCCAUAAUUCAAUUUAAGGACAUCUAGCUGUAUUUAAUGCUUGGGUCUUGAGCGUACAGGUCUGCUUGUCCAUGCACCUAGGCAAUGCAUCCAUCUUAAUAUUUGGUAAAGAUGCAAUUCAUCAUCUGAGAUAAUAAGAUCAUUUAAACAGAUUUCAGGACUUGGUGAUGGAUUGAAUUAGAGUAUUUAAUUUAUAAUAGCAGUCAGAAGUACCUGAAAUAUAAUGUAUGAGCAGGUUUGAAUGAUGCAGCACAAGUCAGAUCUUCUUGUAGUGUCUGCCUCUACAUAUUGAUUAUAUGCUUCUCAUUUUACAGAGAUACUAAAAAAGGACAUUUAUCAAGCAUUUUAUGCUGCCUUCAGGUUAUCGAGAAUUUAGUAAAGGUGUCUUCUCGCUGCAAACUUGAGAUACAAUUUUAAUCCCCGAGAAAACGCAUAACCUUUCACCAAAACAGAGAAGAUAAUUUCAUAAUUGUUCUAAUUACAACCACCUUGUUAGCUUUUGCACAUUCAGUUAUAUAUAUUUAUUUAUAUCUGUAACCAUUUAUUGCAUAUUUUUUGUAUUGUGUUUAUAUUGAACAUCAGCACCGUCUCUGUCAGUGUGGAAGAAAUAUUCUCUCUGAAGGUUGGUUUCAUAAUUAGACCACUUGAUUUUUCUCUUUUGCACUGAUUAGUUUUUUUUUUAUUUAUUUCUUGUAUCGUGUCUUUGCUAAAAUGUGGCAGCUGUUUUUUUUUCUAGCAAUUGAAAGACUCCAGUGCUGUUAUUUGCAAUAUGUCACAAUAAAACUCUGCUUGCCUUCCAGCAUUUGGAGCUGAAUGUCCAUAUGUGUUGCAUUAAACAAAUGAGUCAGUAAUCAAGAUCGUUAAAACACAAAGCAAAAACGGGAUGGUGACAUGUAACAUUGUUUCAUUAUCUCUCUUAGUUCUGAAUGGGGAAUGGCCUGUAGUCAUUCAAUAAAGCACAGUCUUGUUUUGCUGUCUGAUCUGUUUUGAAGCAGCUGAACCGCUAGAACAACAGAUUAAUGUCAGUUCCGCACCUGAAGCCGAAUGAUGAUAUUUGCCUCUUGAAAUCGGUAAUUGUGGAUUUUUAUAGAAGUGUGUGGGGAGGAGUUGUGCAUUCAUACGUGCUUAUCAAUGCCUCACCAUUAUUUCAUGCUUGUGAUUUCCUCUGGCUAGAAUGAGGAAGCAAAAUGCAGUGCUUCCCACAGGUUUGAAUUAUACUUGCGGUGGUAGACGGGUGGAAAAUCCUUCUAUUACCCAUGGCACAAAAAUGGUUUACUAGAUGUGACAAAUAACAAGUAAUGUGUGAUUUUUUUUAACUAUAUAUUUUUUUAUUUUUGAAAUUUAUUUUAAUAACAUAUUAUGUAAAUACUGUAAAUUAUGCUAAUUGACAGCAUUUAAAUGGUAGAGUUAUCAUUGCUUUGUCAUAUAGUGUCUCUCUCAAUGAAUGGGACACAUAGUAAAAUCUAUAUAUUGAGUAAUAUGUCAAAUAAUGUUCUUUCACUUUUCUUCCUGUGGGGAAGAAUUCCAGCCAGAAACUACAGUAGUGUACUAUGAAUUAAAUGGAAAUUAAAUUAAAUGCAAUUUAUUGUGUAACCAAAAUCCCACUAAUGCCCCCCCCCAAAAAAAAGUAACAUGUGACUUUUAAUUAUAAAGAAGCCUGAAAUACAGCGUGACUCUUAUUUUGAAAUAUCUAUAUUAUUGCGGGUUGAUCCUUCAGAUCUAUGCAACUAUGCAUUCUUACAACCUUUAAAAACAUUAUAUAAAGGUCAAAAAGUAGACAUUAUUGUCAUAAUUCAUCAACUCAAGUUCACAGUGGCAUAAAUGUGCUCUAUUCAUCGAUUGAGAAUAAUUUUGAAGCAGUCUGAAAAACGCUGUUUCGCGAGCCUGUAGAAUGCACAACAGCGCCUCCCCGCUCUUUUUUUAAAAUUAAAUCAUAGCCUUUUGAAAUUUAAUAAUCAAUAGGCUGUAUCGCAAUUUAUGUUUUUCCAUCCCCAAAAUAUAAGCCGUCUUAAAAUUAUCUUUAAGAUGUUCGUUUUACCAUUUCAUGUAUUGAAGACUUUUUAUGACAUUAAAUAAAACUCACCGGAGGGAUUUUGCUUUAUUCACACACAUGCUCCUAAAUACAUUUUACAGUUGGACACAUCUAUUUUUAGUCAUAAAUGGGACUGAAGUGUCCACUCUGUCGAGCCCUGUCUGUGAAAUAUCCAGCGUGUCACUGCAGUGCACAGAGGAAUGUCAGCAGAAGUAAACAGUAGGCUACUUGCGCACACAGAACGAGCAGAUACAAAACGUGUAGGGCAAGGGGAGAUUUUCUGGUAGAUAAUUGAUCACGGAUGGCUUCAUUAUUUCAGGCGGAUUAAAAAAAAAAAAAAAAAAUAUAUAAUAUAUAUAUAUAUAUAUA